rnacentral:rRNA from 1 species
GGCUUACCAAGGCGACGAUGCGUAGCCGACCUGAGAGGGUGAUCGGCCACACUGGGACUGAGACACGGCCCAGACUCCUACGGGAGGCAGCAGUAGGGAAUCUUCCGCAAUGGACGAAAGUCUGACGGAGCAACGCCGCGUGAGUGAUGAAGGUUUUCGGAUCGUAAAACUCUGUUGUUAGGGAAGAACAAGUGCCAUAGUAACUGAUGGCACCUUGACGGUACCUAACCAGAAAGCCACGGCUAACUACGUGCCAGCAGCCGCGGUAAUACGUAGGUGGCAAGCGUUGUCCGGAAUUAUUGGGCGUAAAGCGCUCGCAGGCGGUUCUUUAAGUCUGAUGUGAAAUCUUACGGCUCAACCGUAAACGUGCAUUGGAAACUGGGGAACUUGAGUGCAGAAGAGGAGAGUGGAAUUCCACGUGUAGCGGUGAAAUGCGUAGAGAUGUGGAGGAACACCAGUGGCGAAGGCGACUCUCUGGUCUGUAACUGACGCUGAGGAGCGAAAGCGUGGGGAGCGAACAGGAUUAGAUACCCUGGUAGUCCACGCCGUAAACGAUGAGUGCUAGGUGUUAGGGGGUUUCCGCCCCUUAGUGCUGAAGUUAACGCAUUAAGCACUCCG